CCUACGGGAGGCAGCAGUAGGGAAUUUUCGGCAAUGGGGGAAACCCUGACCGAGCAACGCCGCGUGAACGAAGAAGGUAUUCGUAAUGUAAAGUUCUUUUAACAGGGAAGAAAGAGAAAUUUGACGGUACCUGAAGAAUAAGCUCCGGCUAACUACGUGCCAGCAGCCGCGUAAAUACGUAGGGAGCGAGGGUUAUCCGGAAUUAUUGGGCGUAAAGGGUGCGUAGAUGGCAUAGUAAGUCUUUUGUAAAAAUGAUGGGUCCAACCCAGUAGGGCAAAAGAAACUGGAAAGCUAGAGUAUGACAGAGGAAAGUGGAACUACAUGUGUAGCGGUAAAAUGCGUAAAUAUAUGUAAGAACACCAGUGGCGAAGGCGGCUUUCUGGUUCGAUACUGACAUUGAGGCACGAAAGCGUGGGGAGCAAACAGGAUUAGAUACCCGAGUAGUC
rnacentral:rRNA from 1 species